GGAGUGGGAAUCUUGUUGGAAAGCAAAGUGUAACGGGGAUUCAGACAAAGAGUGGAUUUUUGAAGAUGGGUUUGGUCAAUUUGGGUUCAUUGGGUUUGCGAAUCACUGAAUGUAAAGGUAAAGAUUUCGAGGUUGAAAAAAAAAUCGAGGUUUUUUGAACUAUGUGAUGUCUCUCUCUGUGUGUAUGAAUCUGAGUCUCUGCUUUAAAAAAGGUUGGGAUUUUGCAGAAAAUAAAGUGAGAAACGGUAAUUGCAAUGCAAGCAAAUUUGGAAGAGACGAGAGAGGCACGAGAGGUGUUGGUCAAAAGUUGUGUUUGUCUUCACGAGUCGGGUCAUCAUACUAUUACCAAGGAG
rnacentral:lncRNA from 1 species